rnacentral:rRNA from 1 species
AUUGAACGCUGGCGGCAGGCCUAACACAUGCAAGUCGAGCGGAUGAGAAAAGCUUGCUUUUUGAUUCAGCGGCGGACGGGUGAGUAAUGCCUAGGAAUCUGCCUGUUAGUGGGGGAUAACUCGGGGAAACUCGGGCUAAUACCGCAUACGUCCUACGAGAGAAAGUGGGGGAUCUUCGGACCUCACGCUAACAGAUGAGCCUAGGUCGGAUUAGCUAGUAGGUGAGGUAAUGGCUCACCUAGGCGACGAUCCGUAACUGGUCUGAGAGGAUGAUCAGUCACACUGGAACUGAGACACGGUCCAGACUCCUACGGGAGGCAGCAGUGGGGAAUAUUGGACAAUGGGCGAAAGCCUGAUCCAGCCAUGCCGCGUGUGUGAAGAAGGUCUUCGGAUUGUAAAGCACUUUAAGUUGGGAGGAAGGGUAUUCACCUAAUACGUGGGUACUUUGACGUUACCAACAGAAUAAGCACCGGCUAACUCUGUGCCAGCCGCCGCCGUAACAC